AAGACCUUGCGUUUUUGGAGCGGCCGAUGUCUGAUUAGCUAGUUGGUGGGGUAAUGGCCUACCAAGGCUUCGAUCAGUAGCUGGUYUGAGAGGACGGCCAGCCACACUGGGACUGAGACACGGCCCAGACUCCUACGGGAGGCAGCAGUGGGGAAUUUUGGACAAUGGGCGCAAGCCUGAUCCAGCCMUGCCGCGUGAGUGAAGAAGGCCUUCGGGUUGUAAAGCUCUUUCAGCCGARAAGAAAAGAUUGCGACUAAUAAUCGCAAUUCAUGACGGUACCGGCARAARAAGCACCGGCUAACUACGUGCCAGCAGCCGCGGUAAUACGUAGGGUGCGAGCGUUAAUCGGAAUUACUGGGCGUAAAGGGUGCGCAGGCGGUUUUGUAAGUCAGAUGUGAAAUCCCCGGGCUUAACCUGGGAACU
rnacentral:rRNA from 1 species